UUCGUCUUCGACCUUCACCUUCGAGUCUUCGACCUUCAUCUUCGUCAGUGACUCAGUGACCCAUUUUCGACCCGCCUCCGCCGCUCGCCUCCGAGCGCUUUCGAGCCGCCUCCACCACUCGCCACCGCGGCUCGCCUCCGAGUCGCCUCCGAGUCGCCUCCGAGUCGCCUCCGCCGCCCCCCUCUGAGGCUCGCCUCCGCCGCUCCCUCGAAGGUCGACGAGCUUGUCACCCACCUCCGCCGCUCGCCUCCGCGGCUCGCCCACGAAAUCGGAGGUGUCCGGGCCGACGCCCUGCGGUUCGGCCUCCAUGGCGUCAGGAGCAUGAUCGUCGAAUCUCACCCUCUUGAAUCCGCCUACCAAUCGGCAGUAAUUGCGGAUGGUAAUCCGGUAGUUCCCAUAUGCAGAUGUUAUUUGGUUUCUGAAAUUCUGUUUCCAGUUGCGGUGCCCCUUGAGGCGUCUCCUGUGGUUGCCCUCUGGGUCUUUUUGUAUUGCUGUUGCCAUUGUUGAUAUUGAUAUCACUGAUUGGCAAGCUAUUUCAAAAUUCAAAGGCCCCAGUCUGUCAACAGCCACUGAGGAGAUUCUCCAAGAGGAGAUUCUUUGCUGGUUUAGUUUUUUGUUGUAAUUGAAGGUGGAUAAAGCAGGGGUGACUGUGCUGUUUGAGGAGCCAACCAAGGGGAGCAACAAUGUGGGAGUGGUGGUGAGUCUAGUUCGUCUUGCCAACCUUGGCGAAUUCGGGAGUCCUCAAUUUGUCGCGGACAAGCUCGUACAAGCUGAAAAGCGCAAAGUAGGUGCUGCUUCAAUCGAUUGCUUGGUUUUGAAUGUGGAAUGUCUUAACAGUACUGCAUCUGAAGCCUCUUAUGUUUUGGGGCAAUCGAUUAUUUGGUCGAUAAUUUGGUUCUUGGUAGAGUUGUUGAGAAUUGUGUCUUGGAGCUGUCUUAUUGAGGGGAAACAUUGAAGUGAAGUAUCUUUCUGCAGUGCUGAAGAAUUAUUCCUUCGUAUGGUCACCAUACGAAUUUCUUA